CUGCAGCAGCAGAAAGAGAGAGAGGGAGACAGAGCGAGGGAGGAAUGGAGGAAGAGAGGAACAGAGAAAGAGUGAGCUGGCAUGCAAAUAAACAAAUACGUCACAGGGAUGCAGUUAAUGGAGAGCAAUAAAAAACCCCAUUCUGGUAACACUAGAGAUAAAAUUGUUUCCUGAACAAAAGAGCUAAUCUAAAAUAUUAAUCAGCAAAAAUAUUCACUAUUUGUGAGAGGAAGAGAUGGAGAGGAAUAGAGGGAAGUGCUGCUCUCAGAGCAUUAUUUUAGAGAUGUUUUUAUCACCUAGUGCUUAGUGAGCAUCUCCUCCUCUCUUGCACCUGACAGCCUGUACACACCACCGUUCCUCUGUGGGGAAAGCCUGGUGAAUGGGCCUCCUGUCAGAGAUGCUCCAUGUGCUUAUGAAAACACUGACUCUGGAAGGAAUUGUCAGCUCUUCCCAUCCCCUCUGAGAAACUGAGCAGAUACAUGCAGAAAAAAAGUAGAUGGCAAAAGAAAGAAGCACCUGAACAGAGAAUGGUGAAAGGAAUGGACUUGCCACAGACUGAUAAGUAUUCAGAAUUCUCCCAGGAGAUUACUAGAGGAAUAAAAGCUUCUGUCAUUCAAUCGUCUCCAUUUAUGUCAACAACAGAAAAAAAUGUGUCGACAAGUGUUUCAUCAUAUGAACAACUUUUUUAUAAACUGAUGGACAGUUAACUGUCAACUCUGAAGAUUAAUCCAUGUGAGUCUCUGAAAAUUUUUGGGUACAGUACUACCAUCAGAGGGAGAAGACAUGUUAGUUCUUCGGUACCUUUUCUGUUUAAAAAGUAAAACUGGAAAAGUUUCACAGCUCCCAAACUCUC
rnacentral:lncRNA from 1 species